GACGAACGCUGGCGGCGUGCCUAACACAUGCAAGUCGAACGGAGCAGAUCCCUUCGGGGGUUUGCUUAGUGGCGAACGGGUGAGUAACGCGUGAGGAACCUCCCUUUCAGUGGGGGACAACAGUUGGAAACGACUGCUAAUACCGCAUAAUGCAUCAAUUUCGCAUGUUAUUGAUGCCAAAGGAGCAAUCCGCCUUUAGAUGAGCUCGCGUCUGAUUAGCUAGUUGGCGGGGUAACGGCCCACCAAGGCGACGAUCAGUAGCCGGACUGAGAGGUUGAACGGCCACAUUGGGACUGAGACACGGCCCAG
rnacentral:rRNA from 1 species